rnacentral:rRNA from 1 species
UAUCUGCCGUGGGCGCUGGAGAAUUGAGGGGGGCUGCUCCUAGUACGAGAGGACCGGAGUGGACGCAUCACUGGUGUUCGGGUUGUCAUGCCAAUGGCACUGCCCGGUAGCUAAAUGCGGAAGAGAUAAGUGCUGAAAGCAUCUAAGCACGAAACUUGCCCCGAGAUGAGUUCUCCCUGAGACUUUAAGUCUCCUGAAGGAACGUUAAAGACGAUGACGUUGAUAGGCGGGUGUGUAAGCGCAGCGAUGCGUUGAGCUAACCGGUACUAAUGAACCGUGAGGCUUAACCUUACAACGCCGAAG